CCUUCCCUCCUCCUAAACACCUCUCCGUCUCCUCCCUCUCAAAUUUUUUGAGUCCAUUCCAUACGCCCCUUCCACUCCUCUCUCUCAAACUCUCUUUUUUUUUUUUUCCCACCCGCCCCUCCGCCUUCUCUUCUCUGUCUCAUCCUUCUCGAUCCAGAAAUAACGCAUAGCGUGUAACGACCCAGUCCACUAGCAACAAUAACUCGUUGGGCCCAACAACCGGCCCAAAAUGCUUAAGCCCAGUUAUUAUUACUAGUGUCUAAGUCUCUUAUAAACCCAAUGACAACCCCAACUCGUUGGGCCCAACCACCGGCCCAAAAUGCUUAAGCCCAGUUAUUAUUACUAGUGUCUAAGUCUCUUAUAAACCCAAUGAUAAUCCCUUUCCCAUUCAAUGUGGGACUAUUGGGGUGUCACAGACUCCCCCCGUUAAGGCCCUGACGUCCUCGUCAGUCCAAUCACACACAGAGCCCAAGAUCACCAGGCGAUGUGAGACUCGUCUCGCUAGCCCGUCAUCCAGACCCUGGCUCAGUCGAGACUCGCCACACAUGUCCAGCUGGUGAACCGGCUCUGAUACCAAAUGUAACGACCCAGCCCACUAGCAACAAUAACUCGUUGGGCCCAACAACCGGCCCAAAAUACUUAAGCCUAAUUAUUAUUACUAGUGUCUAAGUCUCUUAUAAACCCAAUGACAAUCCCUUUCCCAUCUGAUGUGGGACUAUUGGGGUGUCACAUAGCGUUCAGUGGUGGUGGUAGUAGCGGGUUAGAGAACGAGGUGGCGAUGGAAGUGAGCAGCAGCGGCGUGCAGUUCGACUACCGCAGAUAUCAAAGAAGAGCUUACGGUCUCCGUGGCGGGGAUGUGGUUCCUUCUCAAUGGUAUAGUACCUUCUUCUUCUUCUUUUUUUUGUCUUAGUGUUGCUUGAUUUUAUGCCGUGAGUAAUUUAUUUAGUAUUAAUAUUUUAUUUUUUAAGAGAGUUUUUUCUGAACUAUUUUGGAUUCAAUUCGUACCCUUUUUUACCUUUGUUUUUUGCCUUUUUCUUGUUUUCUGUUAGAUUUAAUUUUGUAGAGUAAAUUAUAUGGAUAAGUCCCUACAUUAUUUGGAAAUUACAACAAAUGUGCCAUUACCAACAAGAUCAACUGCCUUCUGAUAAGGUUUUAGAAACUUCAUCGAAAUCUAAAAAUUCAAUAAUGUAUCCAAAAUUUUGAAAAAAUAAUUAUCAAAACGUAGUUAUAUAUUGAUGUUUCUUCUUUAUAUUUUUAUUUGUUUAUUUAAUUCGCAAAUUUUAAUAUGAUAAUUUCGUCUUUGUUUCUUUAUGUAAUUUACAAAUUUUUGGUAUGAUAAUUUCUAUCCGCCGCAUCACGCGGGUCUCUACACUAGUAAUUUUAUUAAGGGUGUUCAAAUAUUCUGUUAUUGUCAUACCUUUUUUCAUGUAAACCCAUAUAGCUUUUGCUUUAGGUACAACACAUUCAAGAGGCUUUUUGUCAAGUACAGUUUCUUUAUUUUGUUGUACAUGCCGACAGUAGUUUCUUCGUCCAUUACGUUGUACUCACCGCGUCUACCAAGCACAAUAUUAUUGUAUUCAUAGCCCGCAGAUUAAUAUCCUCUCGAUUUUUGUUGCUUAUCGAUGAUGUCUUAUUCAAUAUUCCAUUAACGCUUUUAUGAAGGCCCUAUUGAAUCAGAAUGGCUUUCACUCUUUUUUGCAGGAGACCGAACUUUCCUUUUCCGUUAAAUUUCUCAACCUCGAACUUGAAAGAUGAGACCUUGAACAUCUUUGCUGUAGCGUGAACAUUAGGCUCUAAUACCACUUGUUAGAAAUUUGAUGGAUCGUCCGUCAUGUGGUACCAAUAUAGAUGCACGAAAAUAGAGUAAACUAAAUGGUAAAAGAAAUAAAUAAAGAAAGAAGAGACCGAGAUUUACGUAGUUCGACAAUUGCCAAUGUCCAUGGAAAAAUCGAGCUCUAUGUGAAGAAAAAAAAGUAGACUUACACCUGAUAUCUUCUUUAAACUAAAAACUAAGAGCUUUAUGAUGAAACCCACUCUUCUCUUAUUUCAAUAAAAAAUUCCAAAGAAAUAACUAGAAAGAGCUUUUUGCAAAACCUUAAUUAGCGAAGACCGAUUAGAGAAGAAUAGAAUCUUUGCCCAAAGUCCUUUAUUUUGUUGUUUCGAAAGAUAUGGUUGAGAAUCCCUGCUCCGCUGCCAACUUCAAACUUGGUGCUGCAUGCGAUCUAUCCGUACACUUUUUCUCCGUCCCGUUAUAUAGGCCUCGAGACCGAGCCAAUCCUCACCUUAAUUUUGCCAUUUCGGCGACGUAUGCUAAUUGAAUUAGCCCCGCGCAUAGUUAAGCCUCAAUGCAUGCACAAUAUAUAUAUAUAUAUAUAUAUAUAUAUAUAUAUAAUAUAUAUAUAUAUAUAUAUAUAUAUAUAUAUAUAUAAUAUAUAUAUAUAUAUAUAUAUAUAUAGAUUGAGAUAGAAUACUUCUAAAAGCAUCAAGAGAAGGUGGCUUGUGAGUUUUUAACCCUUGGAUAGAGAAAUGUAGGGUUGGGAUGAUGGUGGUAGGUGGUGGUAGGUGGAAUAGUGUCUGAUACAAGGACUAUUAGUAAUCAAGGAGUAGAUCCAAGGGCUAAAAACUUAAUAGCACCAAAGGGGUGAUACUUGUAAAAAUAUUCUAACUCAAUUUUAUAUAUAUAUAUAUAUAGGUUUAGAGCCGUGGGACCUGCACCAAGUCAAACUUGACCUGUAAUAAAUUGCACCAAGUCAAACUUGACCUGUAAUAAAUGGCUUGGAAACCAAGUCAUGUCCAAUAGGAAUCAACUUUAACUUUUUUUUGUAGAUUCCUAUAAACCCGAUGCGAUGCAUGCUCCCCUUUUGUGAACCAAGACACUUUUUGAACUAAGUAAAUAAUAAUUUUCAUCCAAUCUUUAAUUUAAUCACGAAAGACGGCUCAUCUUAAGAGUCUUAUUAAAACAAAAAGAUGUAUUUCCAUAAAACGUAAAGUUGGAGAUUUCAAACUAGUCAAGGAUUUUGAAUGAAUUUUUUAGUGAGAGUUAACAAGAAUUGAAAAAACUAAUUUUAUGGUGUGGAAAAUUAUUUAACAAUGCCUUCUAGAAUUCUUAAAUCUAUGGAUGUACUGAAGAAUAUCAUGAUAGUAUAAUUAAAGAAAGAAGAGUUUCGAAAAAUAAAAAAGACAAAAAAAGAGAAAGAAAAAGUUAAGGAAUGUUUAUCAUGCAUUACUUAGCGGUUUAUGCAAUAUUGUCUAUGUAGCAUUGUCUAUUGUAAGUUCCAAGAGUGAAGACAACAAAAGCUUGGAGGACUUAAAAAAGGCUAGAGGACAAGUCUUUCAGGAAGAACUUGUACUCUGAGUGGCACCAACGAAGGUAAUAUCAUAAAAUUCAUAUUGCGAAGCCAAACUUUGAGGCACUGCAUGAAGCUGGUGUAUAAAGACUUUGUAGACCCGCCAUGACCUAGUCAGAAGCUAGGAAGAUAUGAGGUAAUGAACUGAUAUUUUGUGCCUUCAGAUUCAACCAGUGAAUUGAGCUCAAAUUUUUAGCUUAUUCAAGGAAGAAUGAUUGUGUGGAAAUGCCUCUGAUUUCUGUGACUGGCUACUUGAUUUGAGUUCUCAUGGAAUGAAGAUCUCAUGGUUACAAUAUAUCAACACAGUCUCCACCCUAAUAUUAUAGCAGGGUUGGUAUUGAGUCACCUGUUUGUUUGGUACCCACCAACUUGAGGAGAACGAGAAUGCACAACAAUCAUGUCAAUCUACAGAACCGUACUGAACUCUUGAAACCCUAUCUAACCAUAAAUUUGUUAGAUUAGACUUGAGCUUAGUGAUCUGCUGUGAGCAUGCGUCUUCCUGCAAAGCCUCAAGCACCAAAGUCACAAAUGGCAGAAAAAUGCAAAAAGAGUACAACAUCUAGCCAUUCUUCUAUGGAGAUCUCCUUCAAUACAUUAACUGCAGUCACUUCACUAUUAUUAAGAGAGUCUGGAUGUUGGAGAUAACAUAUCUUCCUUCCUCUUUGCUUCCACCACAUUUUAUUCAAUCUGAAUCCUGAUCUCUUGCCUCUAGCUUGCAUCAGAUAACUAUUAUUAUCACUCUCUGCAAAUUCACCAAACUUCUCCUAUCAUUAUAAUUUCAUCGCAAACUAAAGGCUUAACAACCUUAAAGAAACCCAGUGAAAUAGAUUCUUACAUCAAGUAAAAAAUAUUUCUUUUAUGUAUAACUGCAUGCUUUUAAUUGUUCAUUUUUAUUGAAAGAGAUUGGUAUGAAUCAUGGCAUGCUUCGUUUGCUCUAGUAAACAAGAAGUAAUGUGCUUAGUUGUUUACAAUGUUUUUGAAAAUUGUGCUCUUGACAACAAAAUAGAGGCAGAGAAUCUGUCUGAAGAGAAACAACAGACAGGAGGGUUGUAGUAGGAAAUUUAAAGAAAUGUAAGAUGAUUUGCAUGAAUUUGAUGAUGCAUAUAUUAGUUCUAGAUGUGUGAAUAAUAUACUUAAAUUUAUUUAUUCUUCACUAGCGUAAUGCUUAAAUGGUUUUUCUCAAAUUCUGUUCUUCUAGUAGCGUAAAGCAAGAAAAAACUGUAUUUACCCCAUACUCCUUGGCUUGUAUUACUUUUGGCUACUUGAUUUUGUUCAGGGAUACAAAGAUGCACUUGCAGAAAUCUAGUCACUAAGAUUGAGCUACAGUUCGGAAAAUAGGAGAUGUGAAGUUCUUGAAACCACAUAUAAUGGUCUUAAAAUAGGUCAGCAAUUGUACAGAUUCGGUUAAAAUGUCUGUAUAUUCUUUACUUCCCUACCUUGUAGAAAAUUCAAGGCUUUUCUGGAACUAGGGUAUAAAUUUUUUGCACUUGUUCCUUUCUUAGCACAAAGCGGAUGGUCCUUGCAGUUUUUACUUUGUACCCAAAAUUUUGUCCAAACACAAUCUUGGAGGGUUCAUGAUAGAACUAAAAAUUGGCAAUUAUCUAUGCUUCAAUAUUCAUAAGACAGGCUUGUCAAUUUUCAGAAAGUCUAUAGAUGAUCUUACUCUGGCAGAUUGUCUCACCCUUCACUUCUUUUGAAACAGUCUGCUUAAAAUAAUUGCUUCUAUCUUCUCUUUUAGGGCUAAGAAGGGGAUUUUUUUUUUUUUUUUUUUUUUUUCUAUUCCAAUGCAGACAAUGAGCGCUUGCGAAAGUUGUAUGCUGAAACCUUGUUAAAAUUUGCUAACCAGGUAAUAUUUCUUUCUUCAAAUUACAAAUGAUUGAAAGAUUAUCAACUUUUCUCCAUUGCAAGACCACUUUUGGUUGUUUAGACGAAAAAAAUUAAAGCUAAUUGUUAUUUUACCCUCUGUUACUAUUAGCUUCCUGGAUUCUUUUAGUGAUCGAAAUCCAUUAUGACGACCAAUUUGCACUUCAGAUCAACAUUUGCAAUGGAACAUCAGUUAAUCUUAUUUACAUUUCUCUUCAGAGACUACAGCUAGAUAAAAGGACAAUUUUGCUAAGUAGCAUAAAGGAUGCUGGUAAAUUUCAUAGACUAAUUGUACGUAUCAUAUCAAAAACUGUUACUAGAAGUGCACUUCGAAGUUUACUUAGAUUAGUGAAUUCAUGAACUACGAUGUUAGUAUGUUAUAGAUUUCAUAAACUAGAUUUAGUACUUACAUAAGUGAGUGAAUGAUUAAGGUAUUCAGUCUAUUUUUAAGCCAGGGAAAGAAUAAUGUGUCAAUUCUAUUGCUUCAUUAUGCCUGCACUCCUAUGAUGCAAUUUUAUGCCUCUAUUUUGAAUCAUGGUUAGAGGGUUUCUUUUUAUUGUUAACUACCAAUCUAGUCUGCUUCCUUUGUACAGAUGAAAUGUCACAUAGAAUCUCAAAGUUUAAAAGGUGAACUUGAAAAGGCAAACUGCAGAUUGCUCAAUUUGGAAGAAGUAACUUUCUUCCUCACUUCCUAUAGUUUAACUUAACCUAAAAAUUCAAGGAUGCCAAGGUGACUGUGUGCUUACAUUAUACAGGAGCAUAAGAGGACUAUAGCAAUUCUUAAGCAAGAGAAUGAAUAGAAGAUCCAUGAUAUAGCAAACCAGCUCAGGUAAUUUUUCUUUUGUUCUAGUGAGCUUGAUCAUUUUUGCUUGUCGAGUAGCUUGUUUUGAGUUUGAUGUUCUUCAAAAUCAGCUGCUCUCUUCUUCAACGAGAAGCAGAUGAAGCUACAAUAAAGCAACUCCAGCUUGAUUUAGCUGCUCGUGAAAGUCAUAUUAGCACCCUAAGUGAGAAGCUAGGCCAGGUUACUGCUGAUGUGGAUACGAAAUGUAAGGGUUUUGCUUCCUAGUUGGGAAAAUGAUAUAUUUUUUCUGAACCUUUUUAUGAUAUUAUCACAGUAAUAGAACAACAUUCUUUUUCUUAGACCAUCAAGAGAUACAGGAUUUGAAGGACUGGAUUGUGGUGGAACAGGAAGAAAAAAAUGAGUUGCACAAUAUUCAAGAGAACUAGGCUUUAAGUGCCUAUCGACAUUGGCCGUGCCUGACGUGCUGCUCCGUGCCAACAAGAUGCCGGCACAAUACGAUCUCCGUAGUAAUGACAUGGCUCAAAGCCCUAUUUUCAACCUCAAUAAAGUGCAAAAGAUUACAUAAAGAUAUAUAUUAAGAAAUUAGAAUAUAUUUAUGUCAAGGAAAAUAAAUAAUUUAUGCCAUUAUGUGUUGGCGCACAUAUUUUUUUUCUGACUGGCAUGCACCGGGACGGCAUGGCAUGCACCGUUCUUAGUGGUAAACCUACAUAUUCAGUGGGAUCAAUUGACUAAAAAAAAUAACACAUCUUCAAAAGUAGGGCCCAUCUUAUAUUUUACCCUACUUUAUUUGACUAAUUGACCUCACUUUGUUUUAACAAGUGAGUAAAGUCCAAUUCUUUGCUCUCAUGUGGCACCAACUAUAUAGUUUGCAAUGUCAUAAACUUAGAUCCAAAUAAAAAAGAAAAAUGCACCAUUAAAUUAUAAAGAAAAUAUUUUACAAUUCUUUUAAAAUAAUAGUCGGUUGAUUGAAAAAAAAAACCCUAAUCUUUCAAAAAAUUGGUUGAGACAAAGAAGUAUAUUGUAUAUCUAUAAAUUUAUUUGCUUAUGAAGUUACCAUUGAUUCUAUUAGUUGCCACAGUCUAUGGAGGAAAAAAAAAAUGCAUUUAACACUAUCACUAUUAAUGCCAUCAUGUAUCGUUUCUCAAAUAUGAAAACACGUUGGGCACAAUCUAUAACUAUACACUGAAGUCCUUCCGAGCAGCUAAGGAUGCCACGAUAGCCAUUAAGAUGUGAGCGAGUCAGAUGAUGCUACAUGUCCAAUAGAAACUUUGGAUGCGCUCAGUGCACCUUAGACCGAUCAUAAAAAAAAAUACAUAAAAGAUAAAUUUUCAUUUGUUUUCGGCCACAACCUAAGUGGAAGAUCGUUAGGGUAGUUCAAUAUAAUUAUGCAAUCCAAUCGGCUUGCAUUAGAUAGGAUGUGUAUUGGAUAUUUAGAUUGAAAGCUAUUUUUGUUUUCACCAUCAUUUGCAAAAUAAAUAGUUAACUAGUAGUUGCUUUCCUGUCAUAGAAGACUUUAUACGAGUACUUCAAGAUCUGAUUCAGUCAUAGCAUCUUCUCUGCUAAUCUGUUCUUCAUGUGGUGGACUGCUUCAUUACUAGGCCAUCAUUCUUGGAGAGUUUUCUCCUCUCUUUAAUUUCCUUUAAAUUGCUUUGAUGUUUUAAUCCUAUCAAAGGCUGUUGCAUUCUUUCUCAACAUGUCAAUAAUUCUUCAUUUGAGUAUAUCAACCCAUUGAUGCAGGCCUUUUGCUGUCUUUUUUGUGUCAUGGCAUUAGAUUAAGAUUUUCUGAAAUUUUGCUCUUGGAUUUUACUAAAUAAGACCGCCAAGAAUAAACACUCCAUUAGUUUGUUAGAAACAAGCUGCCGCUUUAGUUGUGUAUUCUUAUUAUCGGUCACGUGUUUUUUAAUUCUUUCUCAGUUUUUGUUGCGUUAUAUUCAAAUGAUACUCUUUGUAAAGUGCGUGUUUGCUUAAUCACCAUAUUUUUAUGUGAGAAGAUGGUUAUGUAGUAUAGAACCAAACAACUGUUAAUGAAAGUAUGAAAUUUUGAGUAUUUACGGAUUAUGUUUGAAUAGUUGUAGGGCAAUAUGCUUGUGACAGUGUGGAUUCAUAUAAGAGUUCAUGAUUUCGAUCCAGAAAAUUGAUGUUUUAUGUGGCAUCUCAAUCCCUCGUAGAAAGUGCAUACUAUAAAUUUUCAAUUAGUUUAGCGAUGUCUUUGUAACGACCCAGUCCACUAGCAACAAUAACUCGUUGGGCUCAAUCACUGACCCAAAAUGCUUAAGCCCAGUUAUUAUUACUAGUGUCUAAAUCUCCAUUCCUAUCAAAUGUGGGAUUAUUGGGGUGUGACAGACUCCCCCCAUUAAGGCCCUGACGUCCUCGUUAGUCCAAUCACACACACAGCCAAAGAUCACCAGGCGAUGUGAGACUUGUCUCACUAGCUUUGUCAUUAAGACAGACCUUGACAUAACCGGUUACCUUGUCAUACAGACUUCGCAUAGCCUAUCACCUUGCCUUUCAAACACUGGCUCAGCCGAGACUCGCCACACAUUUCCGGCUGGUGAUUGGCUCUGAUACCAAAUAUAACGACUCAGCCCAUUAGCAACAAUAACUCGUUGGGCCCAACCACUGGCCCAAAAUGUUUAAGCCCAGUUAUUAUUACUAGUGUCUAAGUCUCCAUUCCUAUUCGAUGUGGGAUUAUUGGGGUGUGACAGUCUUAGUCAUGCAUUAAGUGGAACUGAUCAUUCCAUAAUAAACAAAACAAAUUACUUGUCUCAGCCUACUUUUUCUCCAGACCUUUGAAAUCACUUCGAUUCCGGUAUGGAAAUGCUUUUACAUUAAUUUUGGCAUUAUAGAUGGGAUAAGAACUUACAUCAAAGUUUUUGUAAUGUGAUCGUUUUUUGGGUACAGUUUGAAUUAUCCUCAGCUUGGUUCCUUGUGAUUGACUUGCCCUAAUUUUACUGCAAAUGUCUCUUUUUUUUUUGCAGUGAAACUCAUGAAAAUUAGGCAGGCAGAGCAACUGAAAGAUUCUGUUUCUAUUCAUCAUGUCGAGACACUGAAGCAGAAGAUCAUGAAACUUCGGAAAGGGAAUGAGUCUUUGAAGAGGCGGCUACUUGCCUCUGAAUUCAGUGGUGUAGGAAACUGAUCCUGGCUCAUCAAAUUCUCUGGCGAAAUAUUUCAUUAGUCCUGAUCUUAAACUGUGCAGAGAUUCUAUAUGUGAAUAUGUAACUUGAAUGUGGAUAUUUUUCAUUGAGAGAGAGAGUGCGAGGUGAUGAAUCAUUUGCAUCUUUAGCUUCUAACUAAGAAAAUAUUGCAACUGAUAGAAAUUUCUGUGUUAUUUGAUACUUCAUGGACAUAAAUAGAAAAUCCUAGAUUUCAAGGUUAAUUGUAAUGAAAUUCUUGUACUUGCAUGGCUUGUAGUUUUUGUUCGUUCAUUUUCCUUGGUGAAACACACAUAGAAAAUAUGCUAUCAUAGUAUAACAUCAAUUGUAACACACAAACUUUAUAUCUAUUUAAUUUGGUUUUACAGUAGUAUUUUAUAUAGUCAUGCUGAUGUUACUGGUUCAACCAGUUGUUGACUUACUGGUGGAACCAGUGAACCCUUAACCCAAUAAUAUUUUUGGAUCACUAUUUAAUCCGAUUUUUAAAAUAUUAUUGCUAGGUUUACGAUCCCAUCUAAAGACUAUCCCUUUUUUUUUUUACGAAAACCCAAAAAGAAUUAUUGAUUAGAUUAGGAGUUGUAAAGAUUACAACUCUGGAUUGUAGUCUUGUAGACUUAGUAUUUCUUUACAAAUAAAAGUUAAAGAUCAAAGUAAAAAUAGGUAAGAGUUAGUGAGCAAUGAGCAAUUAAUAUUUUCUUGACUGACAGCUACUUGGUCGUAGGGUUGGUAAUUCAACUCGCUGUUCACGAGCCAGCUCGUGUUCGGCUCAAAAUGAGCUCAAAAUUGACUUGAUCGUAUAGUAAAUGAGUCGAACGCAAAUUAAAUUUUCCAACUCAUUUAAUAAAGAGUCGAACACGAGCUAGGAUCAACUCACUUUUGUUGGGCUUAGCAACAUCCCGAUAACAUUUAUUUUAUAUUAAUAUAUAUAUAUAUAUAUAAUAUUUAUAUAAUAUUUAAAUAUAUAAUAAUUAUUUUUGUAUAUAAAUAUAUAAUACAGAUUAUUAUUUUUAAAUUUUUUAGCCCAACUUAAAAACAAAGCCGCCUCUCUCUCUCUCUCUCUCUCUCNAUAAAGGUAUUUUGGUCAGGCGGACGAAAAAGCGGACCGAACCUGCAAAAACGAAAAAUGUGGCCCGGUUUUGCAAAAGCCUGAAAUAAGUAGAUUUUUUAUGCAAAUUGGCCAUUAUUAUUCUACGCCCGAUCGAAGACCCCCCGGCAGCAGCGUUCUUCAGUCUUCCACCGUUCGCACUCUUCGCCGGCAGCAUAUCCCCAUGUAACUCCGGCAGUGGUGCUUUCAACAGGUUCGUUUUCGUCUUCCAUUGAUCUUCUUCAUCUUUUUUUUUUUAAUUUUUCUUAUGAUUUUUUGUGCAGAAUCCCAUGAAUUUUCUUUCUUGAACUUCUAAUUAGAGUUUGAUGUGAUUUUUGUAAUGCCCCGAUACGGAUCCGUAGAUAUUUGUUGAUAAGGUAAGAAGGAGAGGUGGAGUAGGAGUAGACAUAGGUGGGAGAGAGAGAGAGAGAGAGAGAGAGAGAGAGUUGGGGAUAGAGAUUAGAAGCGGUGAUUAGAGAUAGAGGGGAAUUGGGAGAAGAAGGAUUUAGAGGAGAAGAGAUUUGGGAAAGAAAGAAGAUGCUAAUUCAUUUCAUUCAUUGAUCAUCUGUUUGCAUGAUAAUAUGGUAUUUAUACAACUUAGUAAAUUGAACGGGAAUGAAAAACAUCUGGUCUACGAGGGCUAAACUGUAAUUUGUCAAAAUGGGGAAUGAGGCGUGACAGGUUGAAUUCUGAUACCUUGUGGGCCUCGAGUGGGCCUUCCCGGUCCAGGAUGCUGGUUAUCGAGCAGGCGGGCGUCGGUUCCGCCCUUCUCCGCACUAUCUGCAACCCGGCGGGUACUGGGCUCGCCAUUUUCCCCCGAUCCGGUAAUCUGACCGCCCGAUCCGCCUACUACUUCUCCUUCGCCCCCAAUCGCCUUCGCAUUCCUCCUAUCUUCCCUCUGUACUGCGACGAUGCCCUAAUCCUCGUCGCCCGCCGGAAUUUCGCCUGAACCAGAACCCGGAGAAGAGCCGCAUCGCAGGCAUCACGAAGCACCUGGAGAAGAACCAGAACCCUAGCUGGCACCAGGUGUUCGCCUUCUCCAAGGACCGCCCGCAUCCAGGCGAACUUCGUGGGCCGCAUCGUCUUCGACCUCACCGCAGUGGUACAAGCUCCAGGACAAGAAGGCCGACAAGCUCUCCUCCGGCGGCGGCGAGUGUCGAUCGGCACCCAAGCCGACGAGGCCUUCCCCGACGCCCUCGACGUCCUUGCCGUCGGUUCACCCCGCCGAGCUCGCUCCCUCCUCACCAACCUGCUGCUGCCACUUAUUUCAUCCCUACCUCGUAAAGUUUCUAUCUUUAGUACUUUACUACUUUAUUCUUCAGGUUGUUACAAUUAAUUAAUUAUUAUUAUUAUUAUUAUUAUUAUUAUUAUUUGUUUUAUACAGAGAUUUAGGUAGAUCGCGUUGGAUCCGUGUGAAAUCCGUAACUUGCGAGCCGGGCUUUUCGAGCUCGAGUCGAACACGAGCCGACUUUGAGCACUAACGAGCCGAUCUCGAGCUUGUUCGGCUCGUUGACAGCGCUACGUGAGUCGCGUCUCGGGCGGCACCGACUUAUUUUCCUGCCCUAAUUUUUAUUUUUAUUUUUUAUUUUUUAUUUUUAUAUUUAUAUAUAUAUAUGAAUUUUUUUUGGUGCGAUAGAGUUGAACGGGUUGACCCUCUAUCCAUCCCUUCUAGGGUUUUCCCUUUCCCUUUCCCUUGCUCCUUCCCCUUCUCCUCUCCUCCAUCAAUGGCGCAUCGCUUGCUCAGGGACGCGCAAGCCGAUGGGUGGGAGCGCUCCGAUUUCCCCAUCAUCUGCGAGUCGUGCCUCGGCGACAACCCCUACGUUCGCAUGGUGAGGGAUCCCCGCUCUUCAUCUUUGAUUCCUUUUUCCGUUUAACUGUAGGAAUUUCCAAAACGCUAAUCUUGGUUUUGGUUUUGCACCGUCGAUUUUGUAGAUUUGGUUUGAAACAGCUAGUUUUACGUAUGAUUGUGUGAUUAGGGGAUGCAGUGGAGGAACACUAGCCGUGGGAAGCCUAAUCUUGAUGUAGUUUACUGUGUGUAGAUCUGAAUGUUGUGUAUUGUGUUAACUACAUCGCUGGUUGUUGUAAUUACAUACUGGUUUUUAGAUUUUGGAUUGGAAACCAGAUAUUGCUAAAAACCAAUUAGAAAUUUCCUUACUUUGUGUUUGCAAAGCCAAAUCGAUAAUAGUGAGUUAAUUAGUGGAUGAGGCGAGCCAUGCACGGUGUAGUGUUAAUGUGUUAUCAGAAAAUGGAGCUAUAUUUUUCUUUUUUAAUUUAUUCGGCCCUUGAAGGUUUAUGUUUUUUCUUUUUUUUUUUCAGCUUAAGAGUUUUUUCUUAGAAGACUAAGAUUAUUCUGAUAAAAAACACUAUUUUGUGCUACUGUGACAUUACUAGGCAAUUUUUCUCAUGUCGAAUCAAUCAUCAAACAUGAAGUUCCCAAAAAGAUGGCCUCACCGUCAGAAAAGAAAAAAGUCAAGAUAUUUAAUUGAGACUCGAGUCUGUGCACUGAUUAAGUUGGCUAUGUAAUGAUGUGGAUCUUCUUUUGCAUAGGAUGUAGAAGAACACUCACACACUUUUGACCAAUUAUGCAUUGUACGGUAUCCCUUAAGAGCCCAUUCAAAUUUUUAGAUCUAGGAGCCUUUAAUCGAAUUAUCUGUGGCUUGCAAACCAAAUAUGGGGGGAAAAGAGUUAUUUGGACAAGAAAAAGCGGAUAUUUUGAUGCUCAUAAAAUAUUAUAUCUUAGGGCACUAUUAUUUGUUUUACCACAGCAACUUGGGCAUGUUUUUUGAAGAACUAGACUGCAAUGAGCCAAUGAACUUCACUGGCAGACCCUGUUAUAUUAUUCAAGAUCAAACUUAUUUACAUAGUGUAUAUCACAGAAACUGUGCUUAUAAUGUCUUACGAGUUCUUUUGGUGUUCAAUUCAAUAGUCAAAAUAAUUUCAUCCCAUAGGAUCCAAAGGAGGGUCAACAUAAAGUUCUUCAGUAAUAAAGCUCUCUUUAAGAAUGUUCGGACAUGCCACGUCUGGCAUAUCUCAAUGCCAUUCAACUUGUGGAUUUUUUUUGUCUCUUCCAUGGGUACUAUUCAGGUCAUAACUUUUCUAUUUUGUAGUUCAUAGGUUGUUAUAGGUUGUUUUCUUGUCAGUCAAGGAUUAAUGACCUCUUCAUAUUUUCUGUGCCUUGAUCACUCAGCUAAGAGCAGAUUAUGACAAGGAAUGCAAAAUCUGCUCCCGACCAUUUACAGUCUUUCGCUGGAGACCUGGGCGUGAUGCAAGGUACAAAAAGACGGAGAUCUGCCAGACAUGCUGUAAGCUGAAGAAUGUGUGCCAGGUCUGCCUCUUGGAUCUCGAAUACGGGUUACCGGUUCAGGUCCGUGAUACUGCUCUUGCUAUCAAUUCCAAUGAUGCUAUCCCGAGGAGUGAUGUGAAUCGUGAAUACUUUGCAGAAGAACAUGAUCGCAAGGUACGAGAUCUGCUCUACUUUUAUUCUCUUAUCUUGUAUCACCUUAAUAUGGAAUGUGCUUUGCUGGAUCUCAGUUUUAUCUUUAGCUAAAAGGAUAUAACUAAUUUGUUUUAAGUAGUUGAUUUAUGAUAUCAUAUGAAUUUUAUCUUACUUGCAAAGAGGUAAAAUAUAUAUAUUUUUUCCCUGUUUCUGCAUGUAUAGCUAGAAUCUUUCUUUUAGUAUAAUGCCUAAUGUUUGCAUAUUAUCUAAUUGAUUAGGUAUGUUUCUGUUAUGAUGCCAUAUCUUAUCCUUCUUUUUUGGAGCUUAAGUACAUAUUUAUUUAUUUCGGAUCUUUUUUUUUUUUCAAUUUAGUUUAGAUUGAUUUAUUUUGCAGGAGUUUAGUCAAGAUUUCACAAACAGUUUAUUAAUGUGUUGCCUUUCUAAUUGUACCUUACUUUCUAUUUCUUCAUCCUCUUCUGAAAAUCGGGAGUGUUCUUCGAGAUUUCUAUUCUGGCAAAAAAGUUUGAGUUCAUUGAGUUUUCUUAAUUGCUAAAGUAAUGUUUUCAUCAAGGUUAAAUGUAUUUGAUAGUUUUAAAAGAGGCUUCGUUCUAUAGACAUGGAAUUUUGUAUGUUAUUACUUGUAUCUGAAGGCAGGCAUGUAAAUAUAUAAUGUUUUAAGCAUCAAUUUAUUAGUGUGCAGUCUUUAAGGUGUUGUGUAGUUAUUGUUGACAAAUCUUUUGUUGCCAAUUAUCUUUGCGCAGGCGAGAGCUGGCAUAGAUUAUGAGUCUUCAUAUGGCAAGGUACGGGCAAAUGAUACUAUCUUAAAACUUCAGAGGACAACACCAUAUUAUAAGAGGAACAGAGCACAUGUUUGUAGUUUCUAUGUCCGCGGCGAGUGUACGCGUGGUGCUGAAUGUCCAUAUCGGCACGAGAUGCCUGAAACUGGGGAAUUAUCUCAGCAGAACAUAAAAGAUCGUUACUAUGGGUAUGUAUCAGAAAUCAGUAUCUCCCUGUGUGACUAUUUUUUCCUUUAUCUACAAAGAGGAUUGUUUGUUUGCUUAUUGUGUUGCUACUUGUCAUUAGAAUCAUUAUCGACUGAAUAUCCAUUUCGACUUGUUGGAAUGAUGCUUGUUAUGAAGUUCCCUUCUAUUUCCAACAUAUGUUGUGUUUUUUGAUCAGCUAGAAAUUAUUGCAGAAUUGUGUCUUGUUUGUUAUAUGUGUGUUGCUUUAUUUUAAUUUGCCAAUUAAUCGGACCUGCUAGAAACAUCACCAAGCUAUUAAGAAUAGUUCGCGUAUUGCUUUGAAGUUUCAUUUAAUCUAAUUCAUAUAUUUUGUAUUCCUAUAAAUAUGCAUAACCCCUUUGGGUUGAUUAGGUUGGUUAGUAAGUGUUGGUCCUGUUGGCAAGGCAGUGCCAACAUGUUGAGAAAGAGCUUGGUUGAGAUCAACUGGGUAAUAAAAGGAUCUUGCCAGUGAAUAGUAAAUUUUGAAUGUUGGGUUAGGGUUUAUUUGGUUGCUCAUAAAAGUAUGGAAAAACUAUUUUCGAGAAAAGAGUCUUCCAUGGAAAACCCUUUUCCAGUUUUCCGACUGUUUGGUUUCAAGGAAAACUUGCUCUUUUGAAAGAGUUUCUUUCUAAAGUUCAUGGAAAACUAGCCUUUUUCCUUUUACUAAAAGAAAAUCUAGAAAACAAAAGGAGUAAUUUUUUAUAAAAUUUGGCAAAAAGCUUUCCACAAAGCUAAUUUUUCCUUGGAAGCAAACAGACUGAAAACUGAAAAAUAGCUUUUCCAUAGAAAGCAUUUUUCCUGGAAAAUUCUUUUCCACAUUUUUUCGAGGAGCCAAACACCCCUUUAAAGGGUUGGACUUUUUAGUGGUUUAGGAAUUAUAUCACUACAAUGCUUUCCUCAGCAGUUGAAAUUUCAUUUGUAACCAAGAGGGUCUUGUUGAAUUUUUGAUUGGCAAGAUCUAUUAGACCAGAUCUCGGUAAGUAAUAUUAUCUUUGUGAGAGAACUUGGGUCUAAGGAAGUAACAUUAUCUCCUUGGGAGAACUUGUAUUCAAUUGUAGUCAAUUUUUAAACUAUCAUGCGGUGAGGUAAAGUAAGGUUUAUACUUUCUAUUUUCUCCAGCACUUACCAUUUUCUUUGUUUUUCAGGAUUGAAAAGAUUUGUCUUCUUCAAGUAUCAAAAACUUAUCUUCUUCCCUUUCUUUCUAUUUUUGUGCAGAGUGAACGAUCCCGUUGCCCUGAAGCUGCUGAGCAAGGCUGGGGAGAUGCCAUCUUUGACCCCGCCAGACGACGAGAGCAUCCGCACACUGUACGUCGGCGGCCUUGAUGCACGGAUCACGGAGCAAGACCUCAGGGACCAGUUCUACGCCCACGGCGAGAUCGAGUCCAUCCGCAUGGUCCUCCAGCGCGCCUGCGCCUUUGUCACCUACACAACCCGAGAAGGCGCUGAAAGGGCCGCCGAAGAGCUGGCCAACAAGCUGGUCAUCAAGGGUGUCCGCCUCAAGCUCAUGUGGGGGCGGCCGCAGGCGCAGGCCCCUUCAAAGCCCGAGGACGGGAGUGAAGAUGGGGCCGCAGGGCAACAGCAAGGCGGGCUUAUUGCCCACGGCGGGAUGCUUCCUAGGGCUGUUAUCUCCCAGCAGCAGAGUGGCGAGCAGCUCCGCCCGCCCGGCACAGAGCAGCAGCUUCCUCCCGGGCAUUACUUUAACAUUCCGGCCCCACCCCCCAUGGAGCGGGCCUUGUACCCAUCGAUGGACCCGCAGAGGAUGGGCGCGCUGGUGCCCUCCCAUGAGGGCGAUGGUAACAAAGCAGGGCCGGAGAGAGGGUCCGCGGGCAGUUCUGGGCAUGCUUACCCGCCACCGCCAGCACCGCAGGCUCCACAUUUCCAAGGCCAGUAUCCUCCGUACUAUACCAACCCUUACGGGUACACGCCGUACCCGCAACAUUAUCGACCUCCGUAUCAGCCAAUGAUGGCCCCGCCGCCACCGCCGCAACCUUCCCAGCAGCAGCCUGCAGCACAACAGCACAAUCCGGGAGCAGCCAGGUUGCCAUCCCAGAACUAAAAUCCUUCUAAAUGUACUUCUUUUUUUUUUCCUUUUCUUUUCUCCUCCUGUUCUAUCAUAGAUUCCUCCAUGCCUUUUGUUUGUAAUAACUGUAUGAUUGGAUAUGAAUCUGUUGCCAUUGGAGGCUAACUAGUAUUUUGCUGUGUAUUUUAAAUUAGCAGUACUGGAUCCUAUUUUACAAAACAGGCAUGUCUUAACUCUUAGCAUCUGUGUGAUUCUAUAUCUUGUUGGGGGUAGUAUCUGUUUCAUUCAAUUAUUUCCUUUUAUCAUUAUCAACUGUGAGCUGCUCUUUACUGUUCAAAAUCAUGAGUUCUGUAAUUGUUUUUUGUUUUUUGGUUUUUUCUUUUGGUUGCUCCUCCUUUCCAUACUUGUAAGAAAUUAGAGUACAUUUUGUUCAAAAUAGUUUUUGAAUGGAAAAAUAUAUCGGAAUCGAAAAGGGAAUGAUAAGAACCUUUCAAUUCCUUUGGCUCGUAAGAGAAAUUUUGACUAUAAUUUACAUUUACUUCUUAAAUUUGUAAUCAAAAUUUGAAUUGAAAAUUUUAAUUUAAAUUCAAAUUCAAGUUCAUAAUCAAAAUUUAAAUUUAAAACUGAACUCAAUAAUUUAGACUCGAACUUAAGAAAUUAAAAAUUAAAAUUUGAAUCCAUAAUUCAAAUUCAAAUAAAAAAAAUAUAAUCUAAAUUUAAAUAUGAUAUAUUUGAAUUUAAAUAAUUGUUAGUGAAAAAAAAGAAUGUUGCCUCAGUAGCCUCCAAAAUUAAAGUUAAUUCCCACCUUCAUAAGAAAAACCAUUUUGGGGAUUCAAUUUCCUUCAAAAUGAAAAUCGAAGUAUUAAUACUUUAAACUAAACACCGAUAAUAAAAAUAAGUUAUUCUGAUUUCUAUUCCAAAUCUCAAAUUUCUCCAACUAAACAUGCGCUUACAUUAAUACCAUAGAAAAGAAGAGUGAGAAAUGCGUGCUUUUAUUUUAAUCCUUUUUGUUUUAGUGCCUAUUUAUUUUUCAAACGAUUUCUGUAAAGGAAACUAACGAGAGACAAAUCUAUAAUAGAUUUAUUUAAAGGAUAAUAAAGAACAUGUAUCAGUUUUUUGGGAUACAAUGAUCGUAUUUGGUAAGAACUUGUUUAGUAAUCUUUAAUAUUUUAUAGUUUACAUUUCUGAAGAUGUUCGUCGGUAUUCGCUCAUUUUCCCGCGCUAAAUAGAAUUUGAACGGGUAAUUUAUGCCGCCAGUUCAUGAGGUAUCAAUUGCGCGACUAAAGAACGAAUCAAAUUUUCUGUUUUAAAAUAAAACUCGAACCGAAAAUCUAUGUUCAGAUUAUAAAAUACCAAUCAACUAAACUUACUCAAUAGUAGUAACUAUAUCCAAAUGAUUGUUUGCCAAUUUUUUUUUUUUUUUUUCUUUCGUGUAAAAUAUCUAAUUGGCAUUGAACGUGUUUUCCUUAACACAACAUUAAAGUUUGAUUUGAUUUGAGUACGAGGUUGUACCAUCAAAGUUUCAAAGCCUAACACUCCCUUCUUUUCCCUUCUAAUAAAGCUAAUACAAAAUGUCCUCUCUUUUUUUUUAGAUCUCCAAACAAAAUCUAAUAAAUGUUCUCUCUUUUAUUCUUUCUUAAUUAUAUAGUUUUUUGUUUUGUUUUGUUUUGUUUUUUUUUUGUUUUGUUUUUUUUUUUCCAAUGCUUUGCUGUAUAUCUUUUCUCAAUAUGCUUCCCCGCAACUAUCUAGAUAUUAGCUUUAUUUUAUUCUCAUCUUAUUGUGCUAAGAUUUUCUUUUCCUCCUAUCCCAUUGGAUUUUAUUAGGUGCAUUCACAUCCUGAUGAUGUGUAGCAGAUGUGAAGGCGGCAAAUGCUUCACACAACAGUUUGAGAUCGACAUCAGAUCGAACGUUAAAUCUUGAUGGUUGCUUUUAUCUAGAGAGAGAGAGAGCCGGGUCGGUGUGCUUUUAAGAACACGGAUGAUUUGUAUUCGUAGGUCGUUUUUGAUGAUGAGACUUUUGAAUCGACUAUCGACUCUGUUACAUUUGAUCUAACUUGUUUGAAAUGUCUUGAAAAUUAAUUUACGAUUUUUAGAUAUUAUUUACUUACUGAUCAAAAGAGCUCAAAAUUAACAAAUUUUAAUAAUUGAUAUAUUUCGUUUGCAAGUUUAAUAUUAUAAAAAUAUCUAAAUCGAAUAAAAUUUUGGUAGAUUUUUUUUUUUUUUUUUACUAUCUACAGCAAUAUCAAUACUUCUGAUCUAAAUUUUUUGUGCUAUAACUGACCGUUCUUGGCGCAAGUGGCAAAGAGCUUGGUGGUUGGUCUUCGUGGUACCAAGUUCGAAUUCUAGUUGAUUCACAUUUCCCGCUAAAUUUAUUUCUAAAAUAAAUAAAUGAAACAGGUAGCAUGUUACAUUUCUCUCAAAUUUUUUUUUUGUGCUAUAUUAUCACUUAUUGCGAGAUUAUUAUUUUAAAGAUAAAAUAAUGUCAAAAAAAUAAUAAAAUUUAUUUUUUAAAUACUUCAAAUACUUUAGAUUAAGUCUAACUGAGUCAAUUAUUGAUUUGAAAGUUUUAUCACCAAAAACAUCGAUAUCUUAAUAAGAGCACAGAGGCCUCCGUACUUCUAAGAGCACACUAUGCAAUCUGUAUGUACACCCUAUCAAUAGUAUAUAAAUAGUAUUUUCUACAUAUUUUUAAUUAAUUUUUGGAUCAAAUACUAUUCCACCGUCCUACUAAAUUAACAUAACGGAUCCAAGAGCUAAAAACUGGAUAUCAAAUACUAUUCCGCUAAGCUAUAGAUGGUGCAUAAUUUUUCCACGAAAUCCGACAAGGAUUUUUUCAAGAAAACUACUCUUCUUGAAAACUAAAGAAAAGGGAAAAUAAAAAAAAAAAUAGUCAGAAAUUUAGUUUGUGAUAAAUGUAAUAAUUAUUAUUAUAAUGCAUGGAAGUAACAUAUAUACCCUAGCAUUCUAAAUAUGCAGUUAAUAAUGUGUAUAGCAUUGAUUAGGAAGGUACGUACUACGUAGUGCUUACAACAGCCUAUUACGUGUCUAAUUAAUUAGGAAAAAGAAAUUAACAAACCGGAUGAGGAAAACAGCGGGCGGAGAAACCAGAGCCGCAGAAAAGCGCUGUUGGAAUUAAUAAGCUAUUCCCACACUAAUCACAAGUGCUUACUUCUGAGUUGACCAAUAAUAAUAAUCAGAAUAAGAUAAGAAUAAAUUGGGAUAAAACACAUUAUCCACGUAUUAUGCAUCUCUUAUCCAUUAUAAAUUCGGAUAUAUAUAUAUAUAGGCUGGGGUUAUUAUACUCUUAUGAGUAUAGACCCCCUUGUACUCAUAAAUUUUUAACCGUUGAUUGAUGGGAUGUGUGGUUAAGAUGAUGAUGGUCCCCACUUAAAAUGAUAGUGGUCCCCUAGAAUUGCGUGGGUAGUUGGUUGAAUAGUAUGAUCUAACGGGUGGAAAUGAUCAAUGAAAUAAAUUUAAGGGUUGAAAACUUAUGAGUAUAAAAGAGCCAAUACUCAUAAAAGUAUAGUAGCCAGACUCUCUCUCUCUCUCUCUCUAUAUAUAUAUAUAUGAGUCAAGUUGCUAUACUAUCAGUAGCACGGAGGACGGAGGCUAUCGUGCUACCAAAUUGUUUUCAAUUAUGUGUCUUCUAAAUCAACAAUCAGCUGCGUUAGGCUUAAUUUACAGAAUUGAAAGUAUUUAAAAACUAAAUUUAUAAUUUUUUGAUAUUAUUUACCUAUAAAACGAAUAGUCUAAAAAUGAAUAGUUGAAAAUAAAAAUCUCAUAAAAAAUGAUAAAAAACUUAAAUUUAAGAUUAGAGGUACUGAUCUAACUUUAAAUAGUAAAAAAAAAUUCUAUAAAAAUUUCAUCAGAUUUGAAUUAUUUUACGCAACUAAAUUUACAGAUACAUCACAUUGACUAUUAAAAUUGUUAAUUUUGAGACCGUUUAAUCACUAACCAAAUAAUAUUGAAAAAUUAUGAAAUCUAACUUUCAAAUACUUUAAAUACUGUCGAUCAAGUUUAAGAAGCCGAUCGUCGAUUUGAAAGCCGCAUCAUUGAAAACAACUUGGUAGUACGAAAACAUCUGUGCUACCGAUAGUAUAGCUGUCUAGCUCUAUAUAUAUUCUGAUUUCUGAAUACGAUGGUUUUCGCUUUAUUUGCUUGCUUAAGACAUCAUGCAAAAUGCAAAAAAGCAAAAUGCAAAAUGCAAAAUUAGUUGGAGGGGUCCGAAGCAAGAAAAUGGAGAAGCAGCGACGUCGCUGUAGCUUAACAUAAUUGCUUCCUCUGCUUUUUAAGACCUUUACCUUUCGCUUAUUAGACUUUUUCUUAUUCUUUUUUAUAUCUGGGGUUGGAACUUGGAAAGGAGAUUCUUGUUUAGCAAAAUAACGGACGGUGGAGAUUGAUUCUUCUUUUUUUUGACCCACCAAGCAACAACCUUCUAGAAGCAACUGGAAAGUAGAGGGGCUCUGUUUGGAUGCGCGAAUAUUUUAUUCAGUUCUAUAUUUUUUUAAGAUAAAAAUAUAUAUUAUUUUAUGAAAAACUUCAAAUAUCAUUCGUGUGAUUUUACACUUUCUCACUUUAGUACCUGUGGUUUAAACUGUAUCAUUUUCGUAUUCUGUGGUCUUAUUUUUCUCUUUUUGUUAUCCCCUCCACUAAUUUUUUUUUUUGUUAAAUCAGUGACAAAGUUAAAACUAAGAGAUAGUAAAGUGAAUAUUUAAUAAACUAUAGCUGAGAUAUUUUAAGUUUUUUAUAUAUGAUUUAAUAAAAAGUUAACGAAGAGGUUGACGAAAAGAGAAAAAUGAAACCACGGGGUACUAAAUUGAUACACACCAUCCUCACUCUAGAUAACUAGGUUAGAAUACUAUUAAUAGCACUAAGUCAUUGGUGCUAUUAAGUUUUCGGCCUUCGGAUGAAACAAAGUAAGGUUUGGUUGAUAGUGGUCCUGUAGUUGGUUGAAUGAUAUGAUCUAAAUAGAUGAAAAUGAUUAAAAGAAUAAAUCUAACAUUAGAAAAUUUGGUAGCACUAAGUACUUGAGGCUAUGGGUGGCAUUAUAGCUGUAUACACACACAUACUCUCUCUCUCUCUCUCUUUCUCUCUCUCUCUCUCUCUCUCUCUAUAUAUAUAUAUAUAUAUAUAUAUAUAUAAAAUUAGGCUAGAAUACUAUUAAUAGCACCAAAUUAUUAGUAUUAUUAAGUUUUCGGUCCUUCGAUGAAGCGAUCUAUGAUUAGGAUGAUAGCGCUUUCUUAGGGUUGAGUGGAAGUGCUUCCUUAGGGUUGACUGGAUGGUUAGCUGAAUAGAAUGAUCUAACGAGUGAAAAUUGUCAAAGAGAUUGAUCUAACGGCAGAAAACUUGGUAACAUCAAGUGUUUGAUGCUAUCGAUAGUAUUGUAGCCGGACUCUCUCUCUAUAUAGAAUUAGGCUAUUAUAUUAUUAAUAAUAGCACCAAGUCAUUGGUGCUAUUAGGUUUUCGGCCUUUAAUGAAGGGAUGUGUAGUUAGGAUGGUAGUGGUCCUCUGGAGUUGAGUGGGUGGUUGGUUGAAUUGUAUAUAAUCUAACGGGUGGAAAUUGUUAACGAGGUACUAAUCUAACGGUAGAAAACUUGAUAGCACUAAGUGCUUGGUAUUAUUAAUAGAAUAGUAGCCGGGUUUUAAAUUUGGGAUCUCGAAUACCAACUAUUAUAUGAGAUAUGCAUCGGUGAUCAAACCUGAACGAAUUUGCAAAUCCAAAAUCAAAACUAAAGCCGCGAGAAAACUCGAAAUCAUUAUCUGAAAUAAAAAAUCUUAGAUUAUUGGUAUUAAUUUGACCUAAAAGCUAAUUAACGGACUUUGAUCGUUGAACUAAAAGUAUGAGAUGAAAUAAAUAGAAGAGGGUGCCGUGUGCAGCACCCUCAAAUGGUGAACACGAGAACAGCAUGGGAGACUCCAUGUUACUGUACGAAACCCUAGAUAUGGUCAUAUGGGUACAAGUUAAUUCUUUCCAUCAUAAUAAUUGUAUAUAUAUGACAUACAAAAUAAGAUAAAAACUAAUAAAAUUCAUGUGAACUAUACACUAUUUUAAAAUAGUUAUCAAACCUUUCAAAAUUUUAAUGUAAUUAUCUAACUUUUUAAUUUAUUUGAUUUGGUUCAGUGAAUGAUACUUUGACUUUAAAAUUUAAGCAAAUUAUUUAUUUUAAUAAAUUUAGAAUUUAAUUUUAAAGUCAAAGUAUUGUUGACCGGCUUAAAUCGAAAAAAAAAUGAAAGGUUUAGUAUGAGAAACAAUAACUUAUAACUUAUGUUCUAUUUUAUUCAGAGCUAAACUUCUACUUGAUCCAUUGUUUAUUAGAUAUCUAACAUAUUUAUAUAAUUUUUUUUCUAAAAAUUAUGUUUUGUGAGGCUUUUUUCUUUCCUCCAAUAUCAUUUUCCAUUAGAGAUUAAACCAUUCACAUAUUUUCUCCUGAUAUUGUUCCAAUUUUUAUUUGUAUGAACAUAAAAUAAGGUUCCAUCUUUUUUGUUGCAAACUUAAUUAUGUUAGAUUUAGGUUUGAGUUCCAUAUUUGGUCUUCAAAUGUUGAGGCGUAGGACAUUUUAUUUUUUCAACUUUAAUUUGUUAUAAUUUCUAUCUAUUUUUUUUUUGAAAAAAAUAUAGUAAUCAAAACACACAGUUCAAUUAAGUUGACUGAAUGAUAAUCUACAUCAGAUAACAUUGUAGCUAAUAGCGUUGAUCAUGAUUCGUGACUAAUUAAGAUGCAUACACCAUUGCUCCUAUGUUAUCAAAAUAUUAAUAUUUGAUCAACUAAAUUAAACUAAAUAAUUACAAAAACUUAAAUCUGAUAAAUAUAAUAAAUUAAAACUUGACCAACAAAAUAUUACUCAAGGCUCAUCCCAUAGUCUGAAACCAAAAGUACAUUAAAUUUGUAAUAUUUUAUCAUAUAUAGAUUAAUAUUUGGACAUUGCCCAUACUCUGUUUUUUAUUAUUUGUUUAUUUAUUUAUUUUUUGCCAUGUGUUAUUGAAUGUUUGUGUUGCGGGUAAGCCAAUGUCUUUUCGUGUAUGCCAUAUAAUAAAUACAGCAAAGUCAUAAUUGGUAUUAUUUUUCUUUUUCUCACUUUCUAAUAAAAGUAUAUUAUGUAAUAAAAUGAAUAAGGGGUACUUAUAAUAGAAGAAUAAUAUAUAAGUAAUAUAGGCCCGUCCUUCGCGGCAGAUAAAUAGUAUUUUAAACGAUAUAUAUAUNAACUUCUAAUAUUUAUAGAGAAAUUAUUUUAAAAACUUUAUUUAAAAAUUUAAUUAAACUUAAUAAUUUUGAUAGCUAAUGUAAAUAAAUUUUUUAACUAAAAAGUUAAAGUUGGAAGACUUAUUUCAAAUUGAAAAAUAGAAAAGGAUGUCUUUAUCUUGUUAAAAGUGAUCGGAGAAAGAAGAAAUUAUUACAUGUAUCUGGUACUCAUAAUAAUUUUUUAAGUAGAGAAAAAAAUGAUACAGUAGAGAAGAAAUCUUCCGUGUAUUGGGUGUAAAAAUAAAUUUUAUAAACUAUAUUUCUAAAAUCACAUUAUGAAAUUUUAAAUUAUGUAAUUUUUUACGUAUAGUCUUUUUAUUUGGGUUAGAUGAUAUGUAUUGAAUAUAAAUUAUUCAUAAAAUAUAGCAAUUUUUUUAAAAAAAUUUUAGUAUUAAAUAUUAUAAUAAUUUAUCUGUAAGAGAGAAGAAAUAGGUUAAAAAAGAUGGGCCCGAUCCUAAUCCUUCUUUGCCCAAAUGAAUGUAAAGCUACCACAUAGGAUCAAAUUGGAAAUUCAUACAUUUAUAUAGAUAUAGAUAUGUCCUUUAAAACUUCAAAUAAUAUUUUAUUUAUUCCUGAAGAACCAAAAUAUUUUUGUUGAUCUAAAAAAUUUUCUUCAAAUGUUUCCAUUUUUUUUUUAAGAUUUACUAAUUGAGUUAAAUUUAAGAAGCGUAUUUCAAUAAUUUCAAAAUAAAAUUUAAAAAUUUUGAGAAUGUUUUCACAAGAGAGACGUCCUAAGGCAGUAUUUGGUUCGAAAACAGGGGGAAUAAGCUCUUGUUCCCUCUUUGUUCCCAAAUGCUAUGUUUGGUACUCGAGAAAAGUAGUUCUCGAAUUUUUGAAAUAAACUAGUAUAAGGUUGAAACUCCUGUUCCACCAUUUUUUCUAGAAUAAGCUUGUUCUCGAGUAGGAACAAACUUAAUUAAAGUCUAAAAUUAAUUUUAAUUAUGGUAUUAAAUCAUUAAUUAAUCUAAUUAAUAUAUUUAAAUUAUUAUUUGUUACUUAAAUAAUAAAAUAAUUAAUCAAUUUAUUAUUUAUAAUUAAUUAUUAAUAAUUUAAUGUAUUUAUCCAUAAAUUAAUAUUUAUAUUGAUCAACCAUUAAUAUUUAUAUUAAUUUAAUUAUUUUUUUUACUAGUUAUCUAGCUAAAAUAAUUUACUAACUAAUUAAAAAGUUAAAUUAUUUUUUAUAAUUAAUUAAUUAAUUAUUAAAUAAUAUAUUUUUAUUAUCUUAUAUAAUAUUUAUAGCUAAUAAAUUUAUUUAUAACUCUUAUUUUCUUUGUGCCAAUCUAACCAUUUAAAUACUAUUUAUCUUAUUCGUAGAAACAGUCUAAUUUUCAUCCAAAUAUAAAUUGAUCUAAUUUUAGCUUAUAUCUAAACUUGUACCUAUUUUAAAAUUUUGAAAUAAACAAUUAUUACUUAUUCUCAAACCAAACGCAACCUAAUAAGGGAUCUUCUUGGAAUCUGGCCAAGUUGUAUUGAAAGCUAGCAAACAAUAACAACAGAGAGAAAACUUGUCCAAACAUCCAACAUUUAUAUUAAAUUUUUAUUUAUAAAAAUUGAUGAAACGACAGCAAUACCAACCGAGGCCGUAACGUAGAAAAUAAAAAAAAGGAAAACUUCAAAAAACCCCCUUGUGGUUUUAAUUUUUUUCACUUUAGUACCCUGUGGUUUAAAAUGUAUCAAGUUAGUACCUUGUGGUUUCUCACUUUAUCACUUUAGUACCCUGUGGUUUAAAGUGUAUCAAGUUAGUACCCUGUAGUUUUGUAUUUUAUCACUUUAGUACUCUGUGGUUUUGAUUUUGUAUCAAAUUAGUAUCCUGUGGUUUUUUAAACUAUAGGAUACUAAAGUAAUAAAGUGUGAAACCACAGAGUACUAAAGUGAUAAAGUACAAAACCACAGGGUACUAAUUUGAUACACUUUAAACCACAGGGUACUAAAGUGAUAAAGUGAGAAACCACAGGGUACUAACUUGAUACACUUUAAACCACAUGGUACUAAAAUAAAAAAGUUUGAAACCACAUAGGGGGUUUUUGAAGUUUUCCCAUAAAAAAACUAAGGAACUUCAUUAGUUGUUACAUCAUAAUAAUAAUAAUAAUAAUAAUAAUAAUAUCAGGGAUCAAAAUUAAAAUAAUAAAACAAGAAAAAAGCAAAAAAAAAAAGUUAUCUAAUGAGCUCACCCCCCACCCUCAACCAAUUUUCCAGGCCCAUGUCAACCUACCCACAAUUUUCCUCCCAAACAGAGAGAGACAAGUAGACACAAAGCUUUAAAUAAGGUGGAAACCAAUGGAGAUAACCACAUUAUAGAGUGGCCAAUAUUUUAAUGCCAUGGUACAAUUGGAUAAGAUCACCACUCCAACCCCCUUGUCCCUCUCCACCUCUUUUUCCCCACAUUACAUUACCCACCUUAUCUUAUCCCCACACUUGCCCAUUUUAUAACAAGCUCACCCACAAAUAUAUGACUAGAGCAUUGGAUACAUCCCAACCAUACAUAGAUAGAUCAUUUUCAAAGGUUUGGAACAAUGUCCCAAAAAAUUGUGCUUAUAUACAACAACUUAGGUGGUCAUUUUGAUGGGUUAGCUUGGUUGCACAUUGUCUAUUUAUCACUAACAAAGUAAUUUAUAUAUAUAUUUGAAAAGGACAAGUGAUGAACACAAGAACACUUGUUAUAUAUUAUAUAUAUAUAUAUAUAUAUAGAGAGAGAGAGAGAGAGAGAGAGAGAGAAGCUAAGCAUGUUGUAGAUCAGAAAGAGAGAAAGACCUAGGAGAUCUAAAGGAUCUGGUCAUCUUCCUCCUUCCAUUUUUCUCAUGAUUUUGAAGAUGCUGUUGUUGUUGGUGAUGUUGGUGCAGGAGAGGAUUAGUCAAUGUGGGUAUUUUACCAUUCUCUUCUGCUUCCUCUUCUUCCUCCUCCGCCUCCUCCUCCGCCUCCUCCUCUACGGUGUGCUCCGGAGAUAAGAGAGGGGGUAGUGACGAUAUAAUGAGUGAACUGUAGGAAGCUCUUCUGGCGCAGGCCAUGAGAAUUCGCCUUCGUUUGUUGAAGGGGUUCUCUGGCUUCGCCAGAUCUUUCGCACUCCCGGCGGUGACGGUGGCUACGUCUGAGAGGCUCGCAAACGAUUUCGAUUUUCCGGAGAAGAAAUUAGACAACCCCCUCCUGCAUACAAAAGACAAAAACAAAAAAAAGAAGAAGGAAUUAUUUACUUGAUUUUUUUUUUACUCUCAUAAAUUUCUUCAUCAAUUGAUGGGACUAUAGUAGAGAAAUAAUAAGAAUUUUACACCCAAUUUAAUUGAAAUUAAUGAGAUUUUUGCACAUAUAGAAAGGUGGCAUGUAACACCCACUUUAAUUGCAAAUCAAACAAAAAUUAUCCAUCACAUCCACAUAUCAACUAAAUCCAAAUUAAUCCAUUUCCUCACCACCCAACUUAUUUUUCUUUUUUCCCCUAAAACAAUUUAAACUAAACUAUGCAAGGAAAUUAAUUCCUUCAAACACCUCCUCACCACCAAAUUUUGAAUUCAAAAAAUAUGAAAAAAAAAAAAGGAAAAGGAAAAGGAAAAGGAAAGGAAAGGAGAUUUUACUUGAUGGGAAGUGAUUCUUCCAAGGAAUCCAAAGAUCCCAAUCCCCCCUUCUUCUUGCUUUGCACCUCCUCAUCGCCAUCUUUUUCCUCCUCCGAUAAUGAUGAUGACAAUGAAGAAGGCGAGGAUUCGACUCCGAUCGUCGACGUCGAGCUCUCCGACGGAUCUUCCUCCCUCUUCUUCUCCUCCUCCUCCUCCUCUUCACCACCACCACCACCAUCAUCAUCGUCUUCUUCUAAGAAAAACCCAUUUCUCCUCUUCUGCUCAUUCUCAUUCUCAUUCUCAUUCUCCUCCUCCGCUUUCGCGUACGCCGCCGCCGCCGCCGCCGCCGCCGCAAUCCCGGCGACGCGAUCCUUCAACCCGACGACGUCCGCUCCUCCGGAGCACGCCACCGACAUCGCCGCCGCCUCUUACAAUUCCGACACCUAAUUCGCGCCGGCGCCGCCGCUUCUUCUCUCAUGAAUCGGGGGCGAGGGAUCCCCUUGUCGAUCGCUUCUCCUAUGGAGAUUUUUCUUUUUCCUUUUUUUUUUUUUUUCUCACAGGGAUGUGUAGAGAGAGAGAGAGAGAGAGAGAGGAGAGAGGAGAGAGAGAGAGAGAGAGGGGUGUGGUGUGGUGUGGUGUGGGGUAUAAGAAGAGGGAGGGGGAGAAGGGAAACGCGCUUUGACACGUUCGCUGAGAGGGGGUGGCAAACGUGUCCCGGUUUGCGACUGCGACGGAAACCGUAGACCGGGCAUUAAAACCUUAAUUAAAAAAAAAUAAAAAGUUUNGCAUGCGUAUUUUAUUCAGUAUAAUAACCCAAUAAUAAAAGUCCCACUGCCAUAUUACCAAUAGCAUAAAAGACUUUGUACUAUCGAGUCUUCUAUCGUCAAAUUUAAUUUUUUAAUUAUUUUAUCCAUUAGAGUGCACUAUCCAACCAAUCACCCACUCCAUCCUAAAGUGCCCACAUCAUCCUAAUCGUACAUUUCUCAAUCCAACAACUAAAAAACUAAUAGCACUAAUUGCUUGGUGCUAUUGAUAGUAUUUCAACCUAGUUCUAAUAAUAAUAUUGUCUGUAUAUUCUUCAAAUACCACUCCUGCGGUUUCACAUUUUCUCACUUUAGUAUUCAGUGGUUUAAUUAAAGUGUAUCAAUUUAGUACCCCGCAGUUUCAUUUUUUUCUUUUCGUUAGCUUCUCCGUUAACAUUUCAUUAAAUUAUAUACAAAAAAAACUUCAGAUACCUCACCUAGGUUUAUCGAAUAUUUAUUUUAGUACCUUUUAGUUUUAACUUUGUUAUUGAUUUAACGAAAACAAAAUUAGUGGAGGAGAUAAUAAAAAGAGAAAAAUGAAACCACGGGUACUAAAUUGAUACACUUUAAAUCACAAAGUACUAAAAUAAAAAAGUGCGAAACCACAGGGAUGGUAUUUGAAGUUUUCCUACUUAUUAUAGACUAUAUAUAUAUAUAUUAUAUAUUAUAUAUAUAUAUAGAGUCCGGCUAGGGUGUUUUUAAGCACUUGAUGUUUGUAGGUUUUCCACCAUUAGAUCUAUUCAUUUAACUAUUUUCAUACAUUAGAUUAUAGUAUUCAACCAACUAUCCACUCAACCCUAGGGGACCGUUAUCAUUCUACCCGCACAUUCCUUAAUCUAAAGACUGAAAACCUACCAGCACCAAUUACUUCGUAUUUUUAAAAACAUAGGAGCUCAAUUCAUAUUAUAUGAUCCAAAAUUUUUUAAGAUGAAUUAUAUGUUUGGUCCUCAAACUAUAAAGGUAACUAAUAUUUUGAUUCUCAAAUUUUAAUUUAUUAUAAUGUUUGCAAUUAGAUUUCACAAUUCAAUUUAGUUGGUUAAUUGGCACAUUAUCAAUUACAAUAUUACUAUGUCACUUUUACGUUACUAAUAUAUUAAUAUUUAGUAAGCUGAACUGAGCUUUAGGACUUGAUUGUAGUACUUUUAAAAAUUCGAAGAUCAAAAUGCCAUGCAUAUUAUAGUUUGGGGACCAAAUGUGCAAUUUAUUCAAAUUCUUAUUUUCUACUAGUCUUAUCAACAACUUUACUAACAAUUCAAAUAUUUUGUUGUUAAUUUAUUCUAAAAGUAUUUAAUAUUUGGUAGAUAAAGAAUGCCAUCAUAGUUUAUUAUGAAUAUUGUAUUCGACCUUUAAAUUACUUUUUAUAAAUAAAAAAAUAAUUAUUUACUAGAUAAAAUAUAAUAUCUUAUUAAAUUACUGAGUCCAAAACUUCUACUAAAGUUUAGAAAUCACACUCUUAAAUUUUUUUAUAUAAAAUAAUAUAUUAUUAGAUAUUUUAUUUUGACAUGAAAUAGACCCUAGGACUUUUUUUUUUUUGGUAGCAAAGAAUAAAAUUUGGAAGUAGCGAUGUUACUACAAAACUUAUAUUAUAUUUGAAACUACGUGACCCACGCAAUAUGAUAUUUUCUAUGAAAACAAAUAAAAUAGGGCUUUAAUUGGGAGGUGGUAUUUAUUCGAUAAGUUUCAUGACAUUUAAGUUCGAUAAAAAAAAGUUAUAAAUUUUUUGGUUACCAAGUCAUUGGAAACCAAAUAAUAUUUUUUUAGAUUAUUUGGUGGUUAUAUAAUAGAUUGUUAAAAGACAUAAUGAUUUUUAUCUACAGCCCUUUAGAUAUUACAAAUCACAUCCAUCAAAUUUAUUUUAUUUUUUAUUUUAUAAUAUUAACUAUUGACUAUUAGCUAGGUUUGGUCUACAGAGUCUGUGUACACAGGGUGUGGGCAAUAAUUUUGUGGGAUAAAAGAAAUAGGAAUAAUUAUUCCCCUCUCCAUCUUAUCCAGUUUUAUCCCUCUAUAUCCCUAACCUUAUCCUGUCCUUUUUUUUUUUUUUAAUAUUUUCUCUUUUUUAUUAUUAUUUCCGUUCUUAUGUGUUUCUUGAACAAGAUGAUAAUGAUGAUGAUGAUGAUAAUAAUAAUAAUAAUAAUAAUAAUAAGAGUUGAGUUGGAAUUAAUAUUAUCAUUAGCAAAUAAAUUUCGUUGUUAUUUAUUUAUUUUUGAUGAUGGAGUCUUCAAGUCAACGAUUGGUAUUAUUGAACAUGAUCUAUACUACUUGAAGUAUAUAGAAAUCAAAUUUCAAAUUUUUUCGACAUCAUUGACCUAAUGAUCAAAAGGUUUCAAAAUUUGUUAUUUUAAUUAAUGAUCGAUAUGAGUCGUUUUUUCGUUUAACAGUGUAAAGAUAUACAAAUCAAUUGAAUUUUGGUUAAAAAUUUUUUUAAAAUAUUUAGAACAAGAUCUAUACUCUCGAUCUUAGUUACAAGAUUCCUAUCAUCACUUUUAAGAGGAUAUUCAUUUUCAGCCAUUCAUUUUUGUGUCCACAUGAUGGACAUGAGAACAAUAUCGAAAAAGCACGAAAUUUGAUUUCUAGAUGCUUCAAGUAGUAUAAAUCAUAUUCAAUGAUGUCAAUCGUCGAUUUGGAGGCUCCAUCAUCGAAAAUAAAUUGAUGGCAACAGAGUCAAUUUGCUACUAAUAGCAUUCUAGCUCAACUCAUAAUAAUAAUAAUAAUAAUAAUAAUAAUAAUAAUAUGUGUGUAUAGGAAGAGGGUGUGAUUAGCUGUAUUUAUGGAUCUGGAUGGUGAUUGGUCAGUCCCGCAUGGCUUUUCUUGGAAAGUUCUUUUGGUGGACCUCAUCUAUUUGGGUUGGUAAUACCAUGUUUGUUUCACCGAAAGUAAAGCACUAAUAAAAGGCUUCGUUUAGUAUAGGGUUUACAUAACCGACCGUCCAUAGAGCAAGUGGCAAAAGGUUUGGUAGUUGGUACCCGAGACCCAAGUUCGAAUCCAAGUUGAUUCACAUUUUCAGCUAAGUUUAUUUCUAAAUGAAAUAAACGAAGCGCGUAGCGUGCUAUCUAUUUCUUAAAAAAAAAAAAAAAGUAUAGGGCUUACAUAAAAACUGCUCAUUUUAGUGAUAGGUACAAGUUUCGAUAUAAGUAGAACUAAAGUAAAUUUUUAUUUAGAUAAAAAUUAAAUUAUUUCUGAGAAUAAGAUAAAUAGUAUUUGAAUGAUUAGAUUGAAAUGAUAAAAUUUUUUUAAAUUAAUGAUGUUUUAUCUAAUUAAUAAAUAUCAAAAUUAAGGAGGGGAAUAAGAACUUAUUCCCCUCCUUAUACUCGAACCAAAUGCUACUUAAGUAAAUUUUUAGAUGAGUAAGAGUUUAAGUAAACAAUAUUUUUCUUUUGCUGUAUUUUGUAUAGCUGUGAAACUAAUUUUUUAUAGUUCUGUUGUUUAUUUGAUACAAAGUUGGUUUAAUAUUUAUUUUUUUUUUGUUGACUUCUUCAUUGGGUGGCCGAAAUCAAUUACAGUACUUUGGAUUAUUUGAAUUUCGAUUAAAAGUGGAGCUUAGAAGCACUUUCAAAUUUAUUUAUUUUUUAGUAUAUUAAAACAACUAGCUAGCUAGACUUAAAUAACCCUAAACAGUUUUAUUCUACAGCAAAACCAGAAACACUAAGUUGGAUUCUAUAGUUAAUGCUUAGAAUUUAAUUUUUUACUUUGCGUUUUUGCCAAAAGCUCUGCAUUUAUUUAUUUUUAUUUUUUCAUCGUCAAACACCAUUCUAAAAUUACUAUUGCUAAAAGCUAAAGCAAAAUGUGGGGUCAAACAGUCUCUUAUCCCUGAAUGACAUGUGCUGCAUAUAAAAAUAUUAAAAAUAUUAUUUUCUAACGGUUUAAACUUUUAAAGGCAAUUGAUUAUUUUACAUAACAUCAGAGUAUAUGAGGUCUUGAGUUCAACUUUCACUAAGUUUAGAGUUUUAUAAAAUUUUUAUAAAAUUUCCUCCCAUAAAACCCCAAUGUGAGAGUAAUGAAUGUAAAAAAUUAAAAAUAUCAUUCUCUCGCAAAUUCACAGCAAAAGAUUGAAAAUGAGAGAUUACAAUGAUUGGAUAAAAAUUAUGAGACUGAAUGAAGAGAGAUAGCAGGUUGUGAGACUGUACGAAGGGAGAUGGAUGGAGAUUAUGAAAUUGAAUGAAGGAUGAUUAGUGAUUGUGAGACUGGAUGAAGGGAGAUGGAUGGGGAUUAUGAAAUUGGAUGACAAAAGAUCAUUGAUUAUGAGAUUGGACGAAGGGAGAUGGAUGAAGAUUAUGAAAUUGGAUGAAGAAAAAUCGGUGAUUAUGAGACUGGAUGAAGAGAGAUGGAUGGAGAUUAUGAAAUUGGAUGAAGAUUAGUAAUUAUGAGACUGGAUGAAGGAAAAUGGAUGGGUAUCAUGAAAUUGAAUGAAGGAAGAUCGGCGAUUAUGAGAAUGGAUGAAGGGAGAUAGAUGGAGAUUACGAAAUUGGAUAAAGGAAGAUCGGUUACGAGAAUGGAUGAAGGGAGAUGGAUGGAGAUUAUGAAAUUGGAUGAAGGCAGAUCAGUGAUUAUGAGACUGAAUAAAAAAAAAUAGAUGGAAAUUAUAAGACUAGAUAAAGAGCGAUAGGCGGGUUAUAAGAUUAUAUCAAGAACACUCAAAGUUUCACACAACUAGAUUGGAUAGUGCAUUGGCCAAUUGAUGUGGUGCACUAGGUGUAACCAUGUGGAAAUGAUUAGAUAAUAAAGAAGCUUAUAGAAAUAUGCUUGUUUUUUUUUUUUUUUUUUUGUAAAAUUGCAGAAAAUUAUAUAACUAAUUUACUGUAAUAUGCACUGUUAGUUUAAAUGGGCCAGCAUCCUACCCUGUGGUAGGGGGCCCUGUUGAGCCGAGUCAUGUUCGAAAUGACGUGAGUCUGGAUGGGCGAAGUCAUGUUUAAAGUGGCGUGAGGCUGGUUGGACGAGACCUGUGAGCGCUGUAUCUGUACGCUUUAAGUAAAUUAGUUGCGUAUUUUUAACAGCUCGAGCUUUUGGGAUUAAUGGUUAGCGCCAACGAUCCGACAAGUGGUAUCAGAGCCAGUGGUCACGGGUUCGAUUCCCGCAUGCUGCAAAUGUAUCCAGGUGCUAGAGGGAGGAUUGUUGGCUUAAAUGGGCCAGCAUCCUGCCAUGUUGGGCGGAGUCAUAUUCAAAAUAGCGUGAGCCUGGGUGGGUCGAGUUAUGUUCGAAGUGGCGUGAGGCUGGUUGGGCCAAGUCAUAAUCGAGACCCGUGUGCGCUGUAUCUGUAUACUUUAAGUAAGUUGGUUGCGUAUUUCUAAGUCAUACUUUAAUUCUUACCGCAUACAAUCCAACUCCUCGUAAUUCCAAACGAAGCCAAAGUUUAGACGACGAUUAUGAGACUGGAUGAAGGGAGAUGGGAUAGUUCCGUGCAGAAUAGCUAUCCCGUGCAGAAUAGCUACACAGAAUUUUUUAGAGUUUUCUGUAACGACCCAGCCCACUAGCAACAAUAACUCGUUGGGCCCAAUCAACAGCCCAAAAUGCCCAAUGACAACCCCUUUUCCAUCCGAUGUGGGACUAUUGGGGUGUCACAGACUCCCCCUGUUAAGGCCCUGACUGACAACCCCUUUUCCAUCCGAUGUGGGACUAUUGGGGUGUCACAGACUCCCCCUGUUAAGGCCCUGACGUCCUUGUCAGUCCAAUCACACACACAACCCAAGAUCACCAGGCGAUGUGAGACUCGUCUCGCUAGCCCGUCAUCCAGACCCUGACUCAGCCGAGACUCGCCACACAUGUCCAGCUGGUGAACCGGCUCUGAUACCAAAUGUAACGACCCAGCCCACUAGCAACAAUAACUCGUUAGGCCCAGUCAACAGCCCAAAAUGCUUAAGCCCAAUUAUUAUUACUAGUGUCUAAGUCUCUUAUAAACCCAAUGACAACCCCUUUUCCAUCCGAUGUGGGACUAUUGGGGUGUCACAUUUUCUGAUUCUUUAAAAAUCACAUAACAAUUUAAAACCCUAGCUCUUUAAUUUUUUUUUUU
rnacentral:lncRNA from 1 species